GCCCUGAUGCAAGCCAGAGAUGCUGGGCUUCCAGCCCUCCUGCUGCAUCCACACGAGGUUCUCUUCAUCCUCUCUGAGUGACUGGAAGUUUGAUAUCCUUGAACUUACCUCCUUCAGUUGGGACAACAAGUGUAUCCUCAAACUUGGCUUCACUAAAUGGAUGCUGUCUUCUGGGGAAGAAGCGUUCUUCUCCCCUAGCUCACGUUCUCCCUUUUUCAUUUCUGACUGCCAUGUGUCCACAGAAGUCAGAAGUAUCAGAUCCUCUGGAACCGGAGUUACAGAUGAUUCUGG